UACGGAGGGAGCUAGCGUUGUUCGGAAUUACUGGGCGUAAAGCGCGCGUAGGCGGCUUUGUAAGUUAGAGGUGAAAGCCCGGGGCUCAACCCCAGAACUGCCUUUAAAACUGCAUCGCUUGAAUCCGGGAGAGGUGAGUGGAAUUCCGAGUGUAGAGGUGAAAUUCGUAAGAUAUUCGGAAGAACACCAGUGGCGAAGGCGGCUCACUGGACCGGUAUUGACGCUGAGGUGCGAAAGCGUGGGAGCAAACAGG
rnacentral:rRNA from 1 species